rnacentral:rRNA from 1 species
AGGACGAACGCUGGCGGCGUGCUUAACACAUGCAAGUCGAGCGGAGUAUGAUGAAAGCUUGCUGGAUUCAUGACUUAGCGGCGGACGGGUGAGUAACGCGUGAGCAAUCUGUCCCAUACAGGGGGAUAAUACCGCGAAAGUGGUUCUAAUACCGCAUGAGACCAUGGCGAGGCAUCUCGCGGGGGUCAAAGGAGCAAUCCGGUAUGGGGUGAGCUCGCGUCCGAUUAGAUAGUAGGUGAGGUAACGGCCCACCUAGUCGACGAUCGGUAGCCGACCUAAGAGGGUGAUCGGCCACAUUGGGACUGAGACACGGCCCAGACUCCUACGGGAGGCAGCAGUGGGGAAUAUUGGGCAAUGGGGGAAACCCUGACCCAGCAACGCCGCGUGGAGGAAGAAGGUCUUCGGAUCGUAAACUCCUGUCCUACAGGAAGAGGAGAAGACUGUACUGUAGGAGGAAGCCCCGGCUAACUACGUGCCAGCCGCCGC